rnacentral:lncRNA from 1 species
ACCUAACCCUGAUUUUCAUUAGCUGUGGGUUCUGGUCUUUUGUUCUCCGCCCGCUGUUUUUCUCGCUGACUUCCAGCGGGCCAGGAAAGUCCAGACCUGCAGCGGGCCACCGCGCGUUCCCGAGCCUCAAAAACAAACGUCAGCGCAGGAGCUCCAGGUUCGCCGGGAGCUCCGCGGCGCCGGGCCGCCCAGUCCCGUACCCGCCUACAGGCCGCGGCCGGCCUGGGGUCUUAGGACUCCGCUGCCGCCGCGAAGAGCUCGCCUCUGUCAGCCGCGGGGCGCCGGGGGCUGGGGCCAGGCCGGGCGAGCGCCGCGAGGACAGGAAUGGAACUGGUCCCCGUGUUCGGUGUCUUACCUGAGCUGUGGGAAGUGCACCCGGAACUCGGUUCUCACAACCCCCAUUCCCGCUGGGGAAAUGCCCCGCUGCAGGGCGGGCCGCUAGAACCUGCGACUCUGGGGAAAGGGGCUUCGGUGUGAGACGGUAGCCAGCCAAAGGGUAUAUAUCGCCCUCACGCCCCGUCCCCCUCCACUUUUGUCUAAUACUCCUGUUUCUGUUGUGCAGAUUUUGCAGGCGUUUCGCUGGCUCUGCCUGAACGAGCUAUGCAGCCAUGUGGUCCUUGGGGGUGGGGGUGGGGAUGGGAGGACUACAGGCGUAGAUCUUCAUACUGGGUUUGUGUAGUGCUGGGAAUUGAACCUAGUUUCCUAAGUUCUCUAUCAACUGGUAUUCCCAUUGUAUGGGAGAUUUUUUUUUUCUUUUGUAUAUGGGGGCGUUGAACAUUUUGUAAACAAUUAGAAAAUCUAGUAGUUUUUUAAUGAAAAUGUUCACUUUUCUUUGUCUUUGGAUGCAAAACAUUACAUUGAAGCUGAGAAGUUUAAAGAUGCGUGUCUUCCCCUGCCUACCUUCGCGUCACACAGAACCUGGUAUCUUCAGAAAAGAAAAUGAGAUAGGCAGGUGGAUCUGGAGUUCAAGGCCUUCCUGGUCUGCAGAGUGAGUAGGCCACACCAGAAAAGUAUGUGUCAAAAACAAAGAAGAAAGGCUUUGUGGGGGGUGGGGUAGCAAACGAUCUUAAUCCCUGUGCUUGGGAGGCCCGCAAGGGGGAUAUCUGUGAAGGAGACAAACAAAGCUACACUGUGUGGUAAACAAAAAACGAGGAGGAGGAGCAAGAAGAAUAUGAGAGCCCACGGAAGGAAGAGUAUCAGUCCCCAGGCCACCAGUUCCUCAGGGGUAACUAUGUUUGUGAGUGUCUCGGUGCCUUGACUUCCUCAGUACUUUUCUGGGUUUUAGUCAUAAAAACAUUGAAGAGAUGAAGAAGUGUAUGUUUAGUAAGUACAUACAAAAGUUUGUGAGCUAUAUGCAUAUAGCAACUCAGUCACCUGAAACAGGCCCCUUGCAGCUAACAUAUUUCUUAGUAUUACUAUUAUAAAGACUAGGGGAGUUUCUAAGCCGGCACUCCUUACAAGGGACGAAGCCAUGUUCAGCUCCAGCUUGCCAAGAUUCUGAAACCCAACGUCAAGCCUGACGAGUUCGAGCCUGGCAUCUCUCAGCCGCUGCUCGAGCUGGAGAUGACCACGGAUCUCAAGGCACAGCUGUGGGAACUCAACAUCACCGAAGCCAAGGAAAUUGAAGUUGGUGGUGGUUAGAAGGCUGUUAUAAUUUUUGUACCAGUUCCUCAGCUUAAAUCUUUCCAGAAAAUCCAAGUCUGGCUAGUUUGUGAAUUGGAGAAAAAGUUCAGCGGGAAGCACGUGGUCUUCAUUGCUCAGAGGAGGAUUCUGUCCAAGCCAACCAGGAAAAGCUGUACGAAAAAUAAGCAAAAGCACCCUAGAAGCUGCACCCUGACAGCAGUGCAUGUCUUCUCAAGUGAAAUUGUGGGAAAGAGGAUCCAUCCGUGUGAAACUGGAUGGCAAUCUGGAGCAGGUUCAUCUUCCUCUCUGGUACAUCCCAUGUCUCCUCGUCUCCAUCCUCCCCUCUGCCUCUGUGUCUCAUCUCUAAAACUCUCAGCCCAUCUUCCUUUACCACUGCCCAAUCACAGGCUCUAGCCUUACCUUUCACCUGCCCUCACCUGCUUAUAGACAGCAAUCUACAUUUCUCCCUUUUUGUCCAAUUAAAAGACUCUUUUCUCUCGGAUAUAAAAUGAGCACAACUAUUAUUACCAUUCUGUAAUUUAUAAAGUAUAGAUAGACCUAACACCCAGUCUAUCAUUUUGACAGUUAAAUAAAGCAUUCUGCAAUCCUAUCCUAACUUUAAAAGGCUUAUAAUUCUACACUUGUUAUGUCCUGGUUCAGCUUGUAUAUUAGAAAACCAUCUCAAAUUAUAUAUAUAUAUAUAUAUAUUACACACACACAUAUGUAUAUAUACAUAUAUAUGUAUACACACACACACAUAUAUAUAUGUAUAUGUAUGUAUGUAUGUAUAUAUAUAUACUUUUAAUGCUAAAUAGCCUGGGUUGGCUAAGACUACUUCAAUCCUGCCAGAAUUCUGAGAGCAACAUAAAAUUUACCUGAAAAUAUAAGAAGCCUAACAUAGCUUACAGAACUGAAACUUAUUGUAGAGAUAGCUGCCUACCUAUACAGUCUGCUGUUUUUCAACACGUUGGAGCAUCAAACUGUGGCUGUUUGGCCUAGGAUCAUCUGACCUUUGUAACGCAGAAUUAUGAAGGACUGACUAUUCUGUCUUGGCAGAGAUAAUCAGUUGACUCUUUUUCUAGAUAGUAAUUUGUAGAUGAAUGGACAAUUUCUGCCCAUUGUCUACCUUGCCACAAUGAACAACCCCACCAACCACGUUGGCUCACAACCAUCUCAAAUGGGAUCCGAAGCCCUCUUGUGGUUGUCUAAAGACAGACAGUGUAGUCACAUACAUUAAAUAAAUAAAUC